GUUUCUGUAGUUGAAAGACAACGAUGAUUUUUCAUGUCAUAGGUCGUGGUUAUAACCAUGCGGAAAUU
rnacentral:tRNA from 1 species